UACGAGAGCCUCGAGCGUUAUCCGGAAUUAUUGGGCGUAAAGGGUGCGUAGGUUGUUCUGUUAGUCUCUUGUCAAAGACCCGGGCUUAACCUGGGGAUCGCAGGAGAAACGGCAGAACUUGAAAGUGCGAGAGGCGUACGGAACUCAUGGUGUAGGGGUGAAAUCCGUUGACAUCAUGGGGAACACCAAAUGCGAAGGCAGUACGCUAGUGCAUAUUUGACACUGAAGCACGAAAGCGUGGGUAGCGAAUGGG
rnacentral:rRNA from 1 species